AGUGGCGAGUCCAGGAAUUCGGUACAGGGGGGCUUCAAUUUUCGGGGGUUCGGGGGCAGCGCCCCCGAGAUUUUUUUAGGAUUUUUUUGAAAAUAGGAAAAGGAGAAACGAAAAAAAAAAGAAAGGAAAAAACAAAUUUUAGAGUUUUUUUUGUAUUAAUAUGGAUUUUGGGUGGGCUAAUUAAUAAAAUUUGGGACUUUUUUGUAUUAAUUUGAAUUUUGGGUAGGCUAAUUAAUAAAAUAUGGGGCUUCUUUUGCAUUAAUUGAAAUUUUGGGUGGAUUAGUUAAUAAAAUUUGAGUGGGCUAAAUAGAAAUAUGGUAUAAUAUAGAGGGCAAAUUAAA
rnacentral:lncRNA from 1 species